ACAAAGUUGGUGGCUUUGAUCAAAAUGACCAAAUUAGGGCAACAGCUGAUUUUCAGGAUUGUCAAAUUGUCUUCACUGAAUGCCUGCCCUGCCUGAUGAGGGGGGAGCAGUAGAGCAGUUGAUGGAGUUGUUGGACUUCCGUUUUACCAAGAUGAACCUAGUAAUGCAAGGAGCUGGAGAGCUCAAGGAUUCGUGUUUUUGGGGGCUCAGCCUCUAACAGACACAGAGGAACUGUUCCCUUCUUCUGUUGGAUGGAGACAACACCUUCGUAGUUCACCCUGGAGAACAGUUAAAGCCAUCCAGAGGGGUCAGAGGUCACCGCAGGGGGCCGCGCUGAUCUGUGAUGCUGUUUAGCUGCACUGUGGUUCUGCUGAUCUGUCUUCUGUUUUUUUUAAGUUAUUUUUUCAGGACUCCAUUUCAUUUGCCAUAGUUUGUUCAUUAAUCUCAUUUUCCAACUUUAUCAUUAAAUACAUGUAUAUAUAACUUUUCUUUUCCAUCAGUAGCUAGACUGCAUGUCAGUAGUUAGAGAUUAUUUAGAGAUAAUUCAGCUGUAAAGUUACUAAGUGAAGCUAUUUUUCAAUAAAUUCUCGGACUUCAUUGGAAAUAAGUGUCAGUGAUGAUUCUUCAUAUGAAGUUUCUUCUGUUUGUAGUUUUGAAUUUAUUAUGUCACAAAAUACUGAUGAGUUCUUCAUGAUGGCUCAGAUUUAACUAAACAAUUUCUAACUUAAUUUCAUAAAUAAUCAAAAAUGUUAAGCUAAACAUGGAUCCAAAUUGGUAAAAAUAUCACAGUAAUAAACUGCACAAUAAGAAUACAUUUACAACAUAGUAAAUACAGCACUGCACAGUUAGUAAUAGUAGCAUACUCAAAUUAAAAUAAUCCCGAUCAGGGAUCUACUCUACUGGAAUCUACUGUGCUAAGAACAGCAGGGAUGUAAACGCCGAGUUUGUUGGGAGCCGUGAGGUUAGAGACUGAGCAGCUGCUGGGAGGAAGGAUCUGUGAUGACGCUCUUUUGUGCCCCAGUGAUAACGCGGUCUGUUUCUGAAGGCGCUUUCCAUGAAUGAUUAUAUUUCUGAUGGGAAAGAUAGACUCCAUCUUCACUGCAGGUGAUGGGCCCAGACCUGUAACCCAACUGGCUCUUAAUGGGCAGAGUGGUUUAGGAAUGUUGUUUUCAGUGCUGGGUUAUAGAAUAAUCUCAAAAACCGCAAAAGACAAACAGAAGAAAUUAUUAACUAUUGAAAUAUUUGUCAAAGUUUUUGCUAUUUUUUUAUUUAAAUUUUUUAUGACUUUUAAGCAGAUGGCUGAAACUGGCUGAAGAAUUAGAUUUAUUGUUGCUUUUUCAAAGGAAGUUUUCUCCUGCUUUACCACAAGGUGGCGGCGCAGCGCCUUCAAGAUGGUUUACUCGCUUAAACCUCUCAUUUAAUACUUGCUGCAGAAGUAAAUAUAGCAUUAGCAGAUUUGCAUAUAGCAUUAGCAAUGUCUGCAGUAACAAUAUAUUCGGUUCAUUAUUGGUGUUAUUUCAAAAACAUUGUCUUCUAGGAGAAAAGGUCGAUUUCCAGCGCAGACUGCUGGAAACCAGCUGAAAAACCCAAAUAAACCCAGAACCUCCAGCAGAUUUAAGGAUGAAUGGAAAUGUCUUCCUGCGACAGACUGGCGACCUGUCCAGAUGACCCCGCCUCUCCUCUGCUCCUUCUGCCGGUCUGCUUAAGGUCGACGGUCAAUCAUCAUUUAAACAUCCGUUGACUUCAGGUUGUUGCUUCCAUCCAGCAGGUCUGACAUAAUUUACAGCUCUGUCUGUCUGUUACCACAAAAAUAAUCAGAGCCCAAAUUAACUCAAGUUUAGUGUCACUUUUCCAAAACCUGAGAUUUUCCUGAAGGAAAUUAAUGUAUAAAGAUUCACUAAAGACUGAAACAUCCAAGCAUCUUUUUGGUUAAAAGGUAAAUGUGUCUUUUUUGUGUGGUAUGUAAACUUAUGGUUUUCUGCUAUAAUACAAAAUGAAUAUAUGAUGGAGCUCCAUGCAAACAUUCCUACUCCAUUACCCAGAAUUCUCUGAUACCUAAAACCUUUAAUACAAAGAAAUGUACUUUAUUUCCCACAGUCAAUUAAAAAAGCCAUUUUCAUACUCUGA